rnacentral:rRNA from 1 species
CGAAAGCCUGACGGAGCAAUACCGCGUGAGGGAGGAAGGCUCUUGGGUUGUAAACCUCUUUUCUCAGGGAAGAAGAUCUGACGGUACCUGAGGAAUAAGCAUCGGCUAACUCCGUGCCAGCAGCCGCGGUAAUACGGAGGAUGCAAGCGUUAUCCGGAAUUAUUGGGCGUAAAGCGUCCGCAGGUGGUUUUUCAAGUCCGCUGUUAAAGACUGGAGCUCAACUCCGGAAAGGCAGUGGAAACUGGAAGACUAGAGUUCGGUAGGGGUAGCGGGAAUUCCCAGUGUAGCGGUGAAAUGCGUAGAGAUUGGGAAGAACAUCGGUGGCGAAAGCGCGCUACUGGACCGAGACUGACACUCAGGGACGAAAGCUAGGGGAGCGAAAGGGAUUAGAUACCCCUGUAGUCCUAGCUGUAAACGAUG